rnacentral:rRNA from 1 species
GAUCAUGGCUCAGGAUGAACGCUAGCUACAGGCUUAACACAUGCAAGUCGAGGGGCAGCAUGGUCUUAGCUUGCUAAGGCUGAUGGCGACCGGCGCACGGGUGAGUAACACGUAUCCAACCUGCCGUCUACUCUUGGCCAGCCUUCUGAAAGGAAGAUUAAUCCAGGAUGGCAUCAUGAGUUUACAUGUCCGCAUGAUUAAAGGUAUUUUCCGGUAGACGAUGGGGA